CCCCAGCAGCGGCCGGAGCUCACUCCACUCCAGGACCCUGGGCGUACUCUCCCCGACAGGCCCGGCCACCCCGGCACGAAGCUAUUUGGAGACAAGAGCCGUCCAGAGCUGCGUCCACACUCGGCGUCGCUGCGGAUUCACAGAAGUUAAAUUGACUUUUGAAGUCAAAUCCAUCCUUCCUCCCAAGAUCCACAGCACAACAGGCUGUACGUUCAUCGGCUUAAACACUGCAAGUAAUGGAAUCUCAGCCUGGUAAGGGGCCAAUUCCAUGGCAAUGGUCAAAUUCCCGCUCCUCGCUAACACCUUAACCUAAGUGCUGCCCAUUGAUGUAUCUCUGCACCAGGACCCACGAUGGCCUCGUGACACAGCGGCUGCCUCACCAGAAUAUGGAUGAAUUGGCUGGAGUUCCUGCAGCUGAAGGUCUCAGACUCAUCCUAGAGCUCAACAGAAAGACAGGAGGAGCUUGAGUCCCGGAGUGCUUGCCCCCGAGCUGUUUCCAUGCUCUAGACAACAUUCCUUUACAAAAGGUGCAGAACCAGCAGGACUGAGUCCAGGAAACAGAGCCCAGGGUUAGAGCCAAAGGAACAACCCAGCAUGGAGUCAGGUUUGUUCUUUGCUAUUACAUACCCAUCUGAGUAUCUGUGUGGUCCUCCUGUAUGUGAUCUGUGAGCACUGAAAUCUGCCCAGCUCACUGACUCCACCUCAGCAUUGUCCCCAUCAUCCCAGAAUGGCUGCCAUGGCUCACAGCAUCAAAUCUGUAUCCAAGUCAAGUCUUUCUCAGACUUCCCCUUGUGUCUAAUAGGCCAGAAUUAGGUCACAUGACCCUGCUGCAGGAAAGAAUGUCAAAAUAAACAUACAGCAUUUUUUCAAGUCUUUUGCAAGAAGUGGCUUCUACCAGCAAAGAAGGGGGCUAGAAAUGGAUGUUGAGUAGACAGUCCAUGGCAUUGCCAGGGGGACAGCAGGCGCUGCUCUAGGAAGAAGGAACAACUGUAAUUUUAGGCCCUAGAAAAGGUCCGGAGACCCAAGUCAGGAGAAUUUACCAAAAACAUGCUUAAAGGAGGUAGGGUGGAAAGAAUCUGUUGCUUUCUUUUCCCCGGUCUUGAAGGACUCUCAGGCCAGUGCCGUUUCUGCUCUCGUUGGCCAGGGGUGGUUGUGUAGUGUUGGCACAAGGAAGUAACUCAGAUGCUGCAAGGCGCUCAGAGAUCUCCCACCAGCCCCCUCGCAAGCUCCUUUACAAACUCAGCACAAGCAGUGUAGUCGUUACAGGACAGAAGUCCCUCCCACAUCAGAAUUCUCAAGUUGUCACUUAGAGCAAUUGAGCAGAUUAUUCUUUCCUGACAUUUGAAUCACAAAGUAAUAAAAACACAGAAAUGUUUGAAGCCCUGUGUCCAGACUUUGGCGUCCUUUACAUACCCUCAUACGGGCUGCUCUGGAUCCCAGGUUGUUCGGAUUUGGAUAUUUGCCACUCAGUAUGCUUUUAAUAAACUCCUUUUCAGAGCAAA